GAUGAACGCUAGCGGCAGGCCUAAUACAUGCAAGCCGAACGGUAAGAUUUGUAGCAAUACGAGUCCUAGAGUGGCGUAAGGGUGCGUAACACGUAUGCAAUCUGCCCGCAACUGGAGGAUAGCUCGGGGAAACCCGGAUUAACCUCCAUAAGAUCACACAAUGGCAUCAAAGAGUGAUUAAAUCUCCGGAGGUUGCGGAUGAGCAUGCGGUUGANAGUCUAGUUGGUAGUGUAACGGACUACCAAGGCAAUGAUCAAUAGGGGGAACU
rnacentral:rRNA from 1 species